rnacentral:rRNA from 1 species
UUUCGCAAUGCCCGAAAGGGUGACGAAGCGACGCCGCGUGGGUGAGGAAGGCCUUCGGGCUGUAAAACCCUGUCAGGAGUUAAGAAAUGUAAGUGCGCUAAUAUCGCAUUUAUUUGACGAAGGCUCCAAAGGAAGUCACGGCUAACUCUGUGCCAGCAGCCGCGGUAAUACAGAGGUGGCAAGCGUUGUUCGGAAUUAUUGGGCGUAAAGAGCACGUAGGUGGAUUUGUAAGUCAGAUGUGAAAGCCUUCUGUUCAACGGGAGAAUUGCAUCUGAAACUGCGAACCUUGAGUGUAGGAGGGGAGAGUGGAACUUCUGGUGGAGCGGUGAAAUGCGUAGAUAUCAGAAGGAACACCGGUGGCGAAGGCGACUCUCUGGCCUAUUACUGACGCUGAGUGUGCGAAAGCUAGGGGAGCAAACGGGAUUAGAUACCCCGGUAGUCCUAGCCGUAAACGAUGGGCACUAAGUAGAGGGGUUUUA